rnacentral:lncRNA from 1 species
UCUAGCUUUGCUCUCAGCCCAGCACAAGAAAAAGGUCUGGGCCAGACUGCCCAUUCCAUUCCAUGCUACUCCACUGUACCACCAUCACAAUCAACCAAUGCUUCUCUCCCUCUACGUCAGCUUGCUUGCGUUAGCCCAAAGACUCUGCAUCAUCACUCAUGUUUUCACACAAAAAAUACUGGCCAGAGUUCUCAAACCAACUUAACUUCAGGACUCUCUCAACGACUCAGCCCAACCCAACCCCCCUUUUGCCGCCGGGGGAGGCUACACCAGCUGCCAUGAGUCUCUCGGGGCGCUCUGCCCUCUGCCAUUCGCGGCACAGGCUAUGCCCGACCACCUCCUCCAACGGAGGCGAGCGGGGAGGGGAGACGAGUGCUGCCGGCGAUGGUUUGCGGAAUGCCUGCCUUACUGAGAGGGACCUAAGUUUCUGCUCCCGACCUCAAACGCUCCUCUAUGAGUCAAAUAAAAAAAAGAAUAUUCUGAAUUUUUCGGCAACGAAUAUUGUUGAAUGUUCUACAUACACUUAAAUUGCCAUGAAGAAAAAUACAUUCCUAAUGCUCUGGGAUAAAAAGGAAACAAAAGCAAUGCUCCAAAAAGACAAAUGUGAUUUCGUGAAGAAAAAAAAAAUUGCACACAAGAAGUAAACUAAGCAAUGUUUGUUAUAAAAGAAUGUCUGAAUUUUUCGACUUGUUUAUUCUUUAUUUUGCUGACCAUAUAGAGGAGCAUUUGAGGUCUAGAUUAGAAGGGCAUUUUAUUUUCGCUUUUUCAACUUGUUUAUUCUUUAUUUUGCUGCCCAUAUAGAGGAGCAUUUGAGCUCAAGAUUAGGAUGGCAUUUUAUUUUGGCACUCGGGGUAGCUAUUUCAGGCGUGACAAACAUGGGGGUAGUUGACAGUAUGGAUUGUUCCUGGCCGAGGAAAUACAGUAUUUCAGCCGAGAUCACGGAACCUCUACCUAUUCAGAAAAGGAAACAUAAUAAAGAAGAACAACAGUUUUCAUCUCAACAGUGCAUCUCAAAUCAGCACAUGAAUAUUUUGCGCAUUUCCAAAAUAAAUACGGUAUUGUGUAACAUAGUGAAAUGGACAUUUAGUUUUUCUUUUCUUUUUUUGAGAUAGCUACAUGUGAGAUAGCUACAUGUUCAACUUUGUGAGAUAGCUACAUGUUCUUUUCAGGUUAACCGACUAGAAAAUAUUUCAGAAUCGGCUGCCAAGGAGGUGAUGGAUUGACUUGCAACCAGGCUGCGGAAAAUUUCUGAAGCCAUGCAUGGUAAGGAAGAAGAAGCAGAAGCAGAAACAGUGCCUAGGCUAGAAGAAGCACAGCUGCAGCUAGGCAUAUCUGAAACCUAUCACCCUCGUGAGUACAUCCAGUGAGGCAUGGUUUGUAUUUUGGUCAUUCGGUAUUUGUACACUACUAUAUAUUCUGGCCCUGACAAUUACUCUACUUAUUACACAUGUCCUUGUCAGGAACAACCAGACUGCAUCUUCUGAAGAAAUGGCCACUUGUCAUGCUGUUAACUGAAGAAAUCAACACCCAGCGGUCAGGUCGCGCCAAACCAGGCUCAUCUUCGAGAGCCCUGGAGCUCAUCUUCCUCUACUUGGGGUAAACCCUAGCCGCCAUGUCCUGGCUAUCCUUAAUUCGCUAUAUUUCUCUCGCGAUCAUCCUCUGAAUUCACCUACUUGGCCUCUGCAGAUGUAACAUGGAACGGAGGGUACGGACCUGCCUGUUGGUGAAAAUAAAUGGCCGGCUUCUUCUCAGCAGAAGAAAGAAUGCUUCUCAUCUCAGCUGGGUUGCUUCAUGUCCUGGCCUUGAGUUGUAUUCCGGAAAUCCUAUUCCAGACUGUAGGGUCUUGAGAAGAUGCUCCUGAAAUGAUGAGCUUCUUGACUAGUCCUGCCAAGGAGUAGUGAGUAUGUUGGGACGGAGCAGAGAGAGCUCAUGUGCGAUGCCGGCACCUCUAGCUUUGCUUUCAGCCCAGCACAAGAAAAGGUCUGGGCCAGACUUCCCAUUCCAUGCCACUGGAUCGUACCAACACUCCACCAUCACAAUCGAAUCAACCAAUGCUUCUCUUCUGUCCAAGCAAUUUGGUGAGAGUUAGAUCAACAUCGCCAACCAGUGCCACUCCAUUUCCCUGUACGCCAGCUUGCUUGCAUCAGCCCAAACUACACACACUCUGCAUCGUCAGUCAGGUUUUCACAAAAAAGAAAAGAA